CCUACGGGAGGCAGCAGUGGGGAAUAUUGGACAAUGGGGGCAACCCUGAUCCAGCCAUGCCGCGUGUGUGAAGAAGGCCCUCGGGUUGUAAAGCACUUUCAGCGAGGAAGAACGCCUAUCGGUUAAUACCCGGUAGGAAAGACAUCACUCGCAGAAGAAGCACCGGCUAACUCCGUGCCAGCAGCCGCGGUAAUACGGAGGGUGCAAGCGUUAAUCGGAAUUACUGGGCGUAAAGCGCGCGUAGGUGGCUUGAUAAGCCGGUUGUGAAAGCCCCGGGCUCAACCUGGGAACGGCAUCCGGAACUGUCAGGCUAGAGUGCAGGAGAGGAAGGUAGAAUUCCCGGUGUAGCGGUGAAAUGCGUAGAGAUCGGGAGGAAUACCAGUGGCGAAGGCGGCCUUCUGGACUGACACUGACACUGAGGUGCGAAAGCGUGGGUAGCAAACAGGAUUAGAUACCCUGGUAGUCCACGCCGUAAACGAUGUCGACCAGCCGUUGGGUGCCUAGAGCACUUUGUG
rnacentral:rRNA from 1 species